UAUUUUUUUUAUUGAAUAUUUUUUUUUGUAUUUAUAUUGUUUUAAAAAAAAGAACAAAAAUUUAUCCUCCCACAACCCCCCGCAACCGCAACCGCAAAUGUUAGCUGAAACCAUAUUUUGAAUUUAUGAAGUUUAAAGCGGUUUAUAGCAGUUUGAGUGAUUGUUGCAAAACGCCGACAACCGCCACCAACCGAAAAAGCUGCGUUUGCAGGUGGUAGCGGAGAAACCAAUCAUACCCUAAAUGCAGAGUCAAGGUUGGUCCCAAAGUCAUUCAAGGGCCAUCUCCACCCUUUAUUUGCAGAAGCACAAUUUAUCCCACACAAUCCAAUUACAUACCUUAACUCUUUAAGGCUUGUUGAUGGCCCAACAAGUAACUAAAUCAGUCACUUCUAAAAUCAAUUAAAACUUAUUGGGCCGUAGUUGGGCUAUUUCGCAUCCACUGUGGCCCGUAAUAGUAAGGCGUACUGAACCUCUAGGGCUUCCGAUACCCUAAUAUCUCUUUGUAUAUAAUCCAUCUCACGAACUAUCUUCUUCCUCAUCCCUUCUUCUUCUUCGUACUUCUCCAUCAAUAGCUUUUUAUUCUCUUAGCUUUCUUUUUGUACUUGUCUUUAAGUCUUGUAUGUGACGGGAUUUCUCUCCGAAAUCUUACUCUUACUGGAGCAAUCUGAAUACUGUGAUUGCAUAAUCCACUAGUAAACGUCACAGAGCGAAACUGUAUACCGAGGGCGUUGACGGAGCUUCACGGCUUCUCCGUCUGAGGUGUCUUGCUCUCAUAUUCUAUGUCUCUGCGGAGCGGCGUCGCUGCUUUUACCGUUUGAGCCGGCCAUGAGAUCGAUAUUUCGUUGCUUAUUUUACAAUUGAAUUAGGGUUUAAAGCCGAUGAGGACAUCAGAUUAUAAAAGAACACCAUCUUUCGGGAUUGAUUACUUAUUGAUGAUUCUUCUGCAAUUCUGAGGCUUUUUAUUAUUAGUAUUAUUAAUUGUUUAGAUUAGUUUUUUUUGUUGGCAGUGAUGAUUGAGAAUGUCAUGCACCACUCUGAUUUCGUGCUGAUAACUAUCUCUACCCAUAUUAUAUCUGAGCCUUGUUAUAGUAAUUAUAUUCGAUUUUUGGUAAAGAGAAAGGGUUAAGAAGAUAACCAGAUGAUGGUCAUUAUUAAUGAUUUGACCUUGAUGCGGACUGUAUUUCUUUGAUGAUAACUUUUUGGUUCCUGAUGGUUAUUACCCUUUUCAGUUGUGUUGUUAAAUUAUGUUUUUACCAUUUUUCAAUGUUUUGUUCAAUGGUUGAUUUCGAAGUUUUAUUGGUUUAAUGGUUGAUUUCAAAUUUAUAUAUUGUCAAUGGUUUGGUUUAUUUGUUGUAGGCUAUGGUGGUUGUUUACAUUUGGCUUGGGAGAUCCGUGGAGGUUAUUCUGCUGCCUUGUAGAGAAUCUGCAGUUUUCUGAUUCUGUUAACCUUCUUAUGUAUAAAAGAGAUCCUGUGUGAUUGUACUUGUUCUGACAACCUUUGUGACAUAUUGACUUAUAUGGUUAUAUGUAAUAUUUGACGGAAGAUUAUUGUUUAAUUGUUAGACCGUUCCAAAAUUUUAUUAGACUGUUUCAAAUUGUAUCUCUCUUUCAGAUAUAAUACGUUUGGCUUAGCAAAAAUUUCACUUCAUCCUGAGUUUAACAUUGUUCUGUUUUCUAAACUUUGUUAGUUUGUUCUUGGAUUUGUCCAUGUUUUGGACAUUUUAGAUCAAUUGAAGGGAUCUAUGGGAACUGUUGGUUUUGCAUAUGUUCUUGUUUGAUGAUCAUUGUUAACAUACUCACCGAAGCGGCCCUUUAGAAGCAUUUUACACGUCUUCAUCACGUUCCUUUUUUUUUUUGUUUCUUUGUUUAGAUCUUAUAACCUCAGCCCGGGUAGAAAUCUUUUUUUAUGGGCUUUUUUUCUAAAUAACCGAAAAAAUAGAAAUUAGAUUUUGGGAGAGAUCCUAAGAGAGAUAGGAAGAGAAAGUAGAAAAGAGGAAUUUUGGUUAGAUUUUUAAUUUUGUUUUUUUUCUUAGCUAGUUGGCCUAAUUUCCCUUUUUUAUUACUUAUCAUUACGUAUAGUUUUUUUUCCUCAACAAAUAUAUCGGUUUCAGAUAAUUCUUGUAAGACUGAAUUUGUAAUUGCGUAUACUUUUUUGUUAAAAAACACUACUUAAAAAUGUAAAUAUAAUAUACAAUUGCGUCAUCUUGUGUUUUUAGAACUUAGAAGUAAUGAUUAUAGAUCGAAUGUGAAACAAAAUAUUAACAGGGCCAAAAAAUCAGUUUCAAGCAUUAGUAGUGCAGAGUGUUAUGUGUCCCUUGUCAAGACAAAUCAGUCUCCAAAAUGACCUGUGAGCUCUCUAUGUGCCACACCACAAGUUGUGUUACAUGAAUUGUUUAUAAAACUAUAAAUCUAAGUAUUGAUUAAUCCCCCACAAGCAGCUUACUACUUAAAUAUUUUCAACUAUACUAGUUGCUUGGCUGCUACCUACCGUGUACCAUCAUCCUCUUUAAUAAUCUAUCCUAUACUAAAAGCAUCAUUUCCUCAAAAUCUAGGCUGCCACGUCACCUAAAAUAAUCAGCCAAUUAGAAGAUGUUGAUUUGCCAUGUCAGACGUUCUUUGACACAGAAUUUACCGGGUCAAUGUAAUUGGGCUUAUAACAAUUAUAUCUGACCCAUUAUAAUCUGCCCAUUUAUCCUUCCAGCCUAAAUAUUUGUAGCAAGCUACGCUGCCGCUCCCACUUCUUCAUCGUCGUUAUCUGCAAAUCGUUGUUGUUAUUAUGAUGACUCUUGCUACUCAUUCAAUUUCGUUCUUCGUUCCUAACUUCAUGCGGUCAGAUCUUGGCGAAGCUGAUGAAGCACAAGUGGUCGUGGGUGUUCAACAUGCCCGUCGACGUGUUAGGGUUAGGGCUUCACGACUAUCAUCUGAUCAUGAAGAAGCCUAUGGAUCUUAGAUCUUGGUGCUGUGAAGACGAAUCUCGAAAAGGGGUUUCAUAGAUCCCCCGUUGAUUUUGCUUCAGAUGUGAGGUUGACUUUCACGAACGCGUUGGCGUAUAAUUCGAAGGGGCAAGACGUUUAUAAAAUGGCUGAGAAGCUUCUGAGUCAGUUCGAUGUUUGGUUUGGUCCGAUGUUGAAGAAGUUCGAGGCUCAACAGGGUUCGUCUUCAACAGAUUUCAAUAGCUAAAAAGUUAGAUUCUUUGAAGCCGUUACCUACAUUGCCUCUGCCACGUGCCCAUCUCCUCCUCCAUCGCCACCUCCCCAGCCGGUGGUUAGCAAAGUGGAAACACCUCCUCCGCACUUCCCAACCGGUUAACCAAGUGGAAGCAUCGCCUCUUGAGGUGGGAGAAGCGCCUAAGGGGAGGAAAGGGAAGUUACCGAAGCCUAAGGCUAAGGAUCCAAACAAGAGAGAGAUGACGAUGGAAGAGAAGGCGAAGCUCGGUGUGAAUCUACAGGAGCUGCCUCCGGAGAAGCUUGGACAGUUGAUUCAGAUUCUUAAGAAGAGAACCACGAAUCUGUCUCAAGAUGGGGAUGAGAUUGAGUUGGAUAUCGAGGAGUUGGAUAAUGAGACUCUGUGGGAGCUUGAUCGUUUUGUCACUAACUACAAGAAGAUGGCAAGCAAGAUCAAGCGACAAGGGUUUAUUCAGAAUUUGUCGACUCCGACAAGAAAUCUGGUAAGGGAAAUUAAUGAUCUUCCACCUCCAUCCCUCUCUUUUUCCUCUUAUAUAAACCCUUCGCUCUAAGCUUUCACUAAACAAAAUUCUGCAACCUCCAUUCAAUAAACCAAUCGAUGAUCAUGAAAUCGGUUCAAAUCUCAAGCAAGUCUCCAGUGGCCCUAUAUCGCAUUUGAAUUACCCUUCUUACGUCGAGGAGUGUGCCAAUGUAACAUUACAACCCGUUACGUUUUAUUUUGAGUUUGAUCUCAUUGAUUCUUUUAGUUGUAGAAGAUAGCUUAUGAUCUCGAUAAACCUCACUACAUCCUGAGUCUAAUACUGACUAAGAGAUACUGACUAAGAGAGGACACAUAUAGUUUCUACUCUUUUUCUGUACAGUGCUAAAGUAAUUACAAGGUGGCCUUGAGCAGGGAUGACGCUAAAGUUAUUUUUUAAUACGGGUGUGAAAUGGAGAAAAGGAGCAAGAAAAGAUCCAAAGAUUGGAUAUGAAUAUGUUUAUUAUGAUCAAAAGAUAAACAGUAUUCUCUCUCUUCCUGCUACACUCAACGGCUUGCCAUGCAAGGAAAUCAGCUCCUGGUGUACAGUUAGGUCUGUCCGAGCUGCAACUCGGUGUUAAUCAACGGUUCAAAUCCCUAAUGUUUUCAAAUCCCUAAUGUUUUCCCGUCGGCAGCAUAUGAGUUUGAUCAUAUAAGAGCUAUAUUCUCUUAACUUUACUGUGUUUUAGCAAAAAAAAAAAAAUUUACUGUGUUGCUGAGCCUUUAGAUAUAUAGACAAAGAUGAUGACGUUUGACAAAAAAAAGACAAAUAUGAUGACAAAUAGAGAUGAUGGUUACAGAAACGUUUCUUCUCAAGGAAGAAGCUAAUUCUCUCUUUCUCUUUUCCAAACUUUUUGUUACCCAUUUCAUAUUAUUAUGUGCAUAUGCUUUGUUCGGCACCCAAAUUGUUUUGUUGAAGAUGUUAAUAUUUUAUACCUGGUA